rnacentral:rRNA from 1 species
UUUGAUAUUCCUGUACCGCCAAUAAGCAUUUGAGAGAUGGAGUGACACAGUAGGAUAAGCUAACCGUACUGUUGGUUAUGUACGGCUAAGCAUUGAGGCAGUCUAAAUAGGCAAAUCCGUUUAGACAAUGCUAGGAUGUGAUGGGGAAGCCCUUCGGGGCGAAGUAGCUGAUUUCACACUGUCAAGAAAAGCUUCUAUCGAGUUUAAAGGCGCCCGUACCGUAAACCGACACAGGUGGGUGAGGAGAGUAUCCUAAGGCCAGCGAGAGAACUAUUGUUAAGGAACUCGGCAAAAUGACCCCGUAACUUAGGGAGAAGGGGUGCCUGUCUAUGACAGGCCGCAGAGAAUAGGCCCAAGCGACUGUUUACCAAAAACACAGGUUUCUGCUAAGUCGCAAGACGAUGUAUAGGAGCUGACGCCUGCCCGGUGCUGGAAGGUUAAGGGGAUCUGUUAGAGCAAUCGAAGCAGUGAACUUAAGCCCCAGUAAACGGCGGCCGUAACAAUAACGGUCCUAAGGUAGCGAAAUUCCUUGUCGGGUAAGUUCCGACCCGCACGAAAGGCGUAACGAUUUGGGCACUGUCUCAACAAUAGACUCGGUGAAAUUGUAAUCCCGGUGAAAAUGCCGGGUACCUGCGACAGGACGGAAAGACCCCAUGGAGCUUUACUGUAGCUUGAUGUUGGGUCUUGGUACUACAUGUACAGGAUAGGUGGGAGACUAUGAAGCAUGGACGCCAGUCUGUGUGGAGUCAUCCUUGGGAUACCACCCUUGUAGUACUGGGAUCCUAACCAUAGGCCUUGAAUCAGGUCUUGGAACACCGUCAGGUGGGCAGCUUGACUGGGGCGGUCGCCUCCUAAAAAGUAACGGAGGCGCUCAAAGGUUUCCUCAGCACGGUCGGAAAUCGUGCGAAGAGUGUAAAGGCAAAAGGAAGCUUGAUUGCAAGACAUACAGGUCGAGCAAGGACGAAAGUCGGACUUAGUGAUCCGGUGGUACCGCAUGGAAGGGCCAUCGCUCAACGGAUAAAAGCUACCCUGGGGAUAACAGGCUUAUCUCCCCCAAGAGUCCACAUCGACGGGGAGGUUUGGCACCUCGAUGUCGGCUCAUCACAUCCUGGGGCUGUAGUAGGUCCCAAGGGUUGGGCUGUUCGCCCAUUAAAGUGGUACGCGAGCUGGGUUCAGAACGUCGUGAGACAGUUCGGUCCCUAUCCGUCGCAGGCGUAGGAAAUUUGAGAAGACCUGUCCUUAGUACGAGAGGACCGGGAUGGACGUACCUCUGGUGUACCAGUUGUUCUGCCAAGGGCAUAGCUGGGUAGCUAUGUACGGAAUGGAUAAGCGCUGAAAGCAUCUAAGCGCGAAGCCAACUUCAAGAUAAGAUUUCCCACCGUAAGGGUAAGACCCCAGGAAGACUACCUGGUUGAUAGGUCGAAGGUGUAAGUGCAGUAAUGUAUUUAGCUUAUCGAUACUAAUAGGUCGAGGACUUGAUC